rnacentral:rRNA from 1 species
GACGGGGGGGGGCAAGUGUUCUUCGGACUGACUGGGCGUAAAGGGCACGUAGGCGGUGAAUCGGGUUGAAAGUGAAAGUCGCCAAAAAGUGGCGGAAUGCUCUCGAAACCAAUUCACUUGAGUGAGACAGAGGAGAGUGGAAUUUCGUGUGUAGGGGUGAAAUCCGUAGAUCUACGAAGGAACGCCAAAAGCGAAGGCAGCUCUCUGGGACGGUACUGACGCUGAGACGCGAAAGCGUGGGGAGCGAACAGG